rfam:Sorghum bicolor cultivar BTx623 chromosome 4, whole genome shotgun sequence.
UCGUAACACGGGCCGGUGCUAAAGGGGUCUGUCCAACAGCUACUGACCAGUGUUGUCGGGGCAGGGACCCUUUAGCACCGAUUCUUGUUACCAA